AUUGAACGCUGGCGGCAUGCUUUACACAUGCAAGUCGAACGGUAACAGGCCGCAAGGUGCUGACGAGUGGCGAACGGGUGAGUAAUGCAUCGGAACGUGCCCAGUCGUGGGGGAUAACGCAGCGAAAGCUGCGCUAAUACCGCAUACGAUCUAUGGAUGAAAGCGGGGGACCGUAAGGCCUCGCGCGAUUGGAGCGGCCGAUGUCAGAUUAGGUAGUUGGUGGGGUAAAGGCUCACCAAGCCAACGAUCUGUAGCUGGUCUGAGAGGACGACCAGCCACACUGGGACUGAGACACGGCCCAGACUCCUACGGGAGUCAGCAGUGGGGAAUUUUGGACAAUGGGCGCAAGCCUGAUCCAGCAAUGCCGCGUGCAGGAAGAAGGCCUUCGGGUUGUAAACUGCUUUUGUACGGAACGAAACGGUCCUGGUUAAUACCUGGGGCUCAUGACGGUACCGUAAGAAUAAGCACCGGCUAACUACGUGCCAGCCGCCGCCGUAAGAC
rnacentral:rRNA from 1 species